GUGCCAGUAACGGAGAUACUAUUACAUCAGACAAAACAGUGGAGUUUGUUGCAGAGGGUUCAAAUGUUACAUUAUCCUGCAGUUAUUCAUCUGCAUGGUCUUUACUUUGGUACCGUCAGUAUCCCAGAUCAGCUCCUGAGUUCCUUGUGCUCAUCUCAGACAGUGCAAAUCAAGCUCAGACGUCUGAUGUAGAUCAAAGAUUCAGUUCUAAAAUCAGAAAAGAAAAACAAAAUCAUGUGGCUCUGAAGAUCUCCUCUGCAGCUCUGAAAGACUCUGCUCUGUACUACUGUGCGCUGAGGCCCACAGUGACAGGAAGCAAAA